rnacentral:rRNA from 1 species
UGGGGAAUAUUGCACAAUGGGGGAAACCCUGAUGCAGCAACGCCGCGUGCGGGAUGACGGCCUUCGGGUUGUAAACCGCUUUCAGCCAUGACGAAGCUUUUGUGACGGUAGUGGCAGAAGAAGCACCGGCUAACUACGUGCCAGCAGCCGCGGUGAUACGUAGGGUGCGAGCGUUGUCCGGAAUUAUUGGGCGUAAAGAGCUUGUAGGCGGUUUGUCGCGUCGAAAGUGUAAACUCAGUGCUUAACGCUGAGCCUGCUUUCGUUACGGGCUGACUAGAAGAAUGUAGGGGAGAAUGGAAUUCCCGGUGGAACGGUGGAAUGCGCAGAUAUCGGGGGGAACACCAGUGGCGAAGGCGGUUCUCUGGACCUUUCCUGAAGCUGAGAAGCGAAAGCGUGGGUAGCAAACAGG